CAGCAGCCGCGGGAAUACGUAGGGCGCAAGCGUUGUCCGGAAUUAUUGGGCGUAAAGAGCUCGUAGGCGGUCUGUCGCGUCUGGUGUGAAAUCCCGAGGCUCAACCUCGGGCUUGCAUCGGGUACGGGCAGACUAGAGUGCGGUAGGGGAGACUGGAAUUCCUGGUGUAGCGGUGGAAUGCGCAGAUAUCAGGAGGAACACCGAUGGCGAAGGCAGGUCUCUGGGCCGCAACUGACGCUGAGGAGCGAAAGCAUGGGGAGCGAACAGGAUUAGAUACCCGAGUAGUCCUUGUCUCUUAUAC
rnacentral:rRNA from 1 species